GAUGAACGCUAGCGACAGGCCUUACACAUGCAAGUCGAGGGGCAGCGCAUGAGUAGCAAUACGAUGGUGGCGACCGGCGCACGGGUGAGUAUCGCGUAUGCAACCUACCUUCCACAGGGGGAUAGCCUUCCGAAAGGGAGAUUAAUACCGCAUAAAACAGGGGCCCCGCAUGGGGAUAUUUGUUAAAGAUUUAUCGGUGGGAGAUGGGCAUGCGUUCCAUUAGCUAGUUGGCGGGGUAAUGGCCCACCAAGGCAUCGAUGGAUAGGGGAACUGAGAGGUUUAUCCCCCACACUGGAACUGAGACACGGUCCAGACUCCUACGGGAGGCAGCAGUGAGGAAUAUUGGUCAAUGGGCGGGAGCCUGAACCAGCCAAGUCGCGUGAAGGAAGACGGUUCUAUGGAUUGUAAACUUCUUUUGCACUGGGGUAAAACGGGGGACGUGUCCCCCCUUGCAAGUACAGUGCGAAUAAGCAUCGGCUAACUCCGUGCCAGCAGCCGCCGUAA
rnacentral:rRNA from 1 species